rnacentral:rRNA from 1 species
GUGCCAGCAGCCGCGGUAAUACGUAGGUGUCGAGCGUUAUCCGGAAUUACUGGGCGUAAAGGGCACGCAGGCGGCUCUUCAAGUCUGACGUGAAAGCUCCCGGCUUAACUGGGAGAGGUCGUUGGAAACUGAAGGGCUUGAGGCAGUGAGAGGGAGGCGGAAUUCCCGGUGUAGUGGUGGAAUGCGUAGAGAUCGGGAAGAACACCAGUGGCGAAGGCGGCCUCCUGGCACUGACCUGACGCUCAGGUGCGAAAGCGUGGGGAGCGAACGGGAUUAGAUACCCCGGUAGUCCACGCUGUAAACGAUGUGAACUAGGUGUAGGCGGUAUUGACCCCGUCUGUGCCGCAGCCAACGCGAUAAGUUCACCGCCUGGGGACUACGGCCGCAAGGCUAAAACUUAAAGGAAUUGACGGGG